rnacentral:rRNA from 1 species
AAAGGAAUAGACGGGGGCUCACACAAGCGGUGGAGCAUGUGGCUUAAUUCGAAGCAACGCGAAGAACCUUAUCCAAGGCUUGACAUGCAUGGAUUAGUCCCUGGAAACAGGGAUGACACUCUUGUAGUGGAACAUGCACAGGUGCUGCAUGGCUGUCGUCAGCUCGUGCUGUGAAGUGUCGGGUUAAGUCCCUUAACGAGCGAAACCCCUAUCGUUAGUUGCUAACGCGUUAUGGCGAGGACUCUAACGAGACUGCCGGUGUCAAACCGGAGGAAGGUGGGGAUGACGUCAAGUCCUCAUGGCCCUUAUGCCUUGGGCUGCACACGUGCUACAAUGGCGCGGCACAAAGCGAAGCAAGACCGCAAGGUGGAGCAAAUCGCAUAAAACGCGCCCCAGUUCAGAUUGAGGUCUGCAACUCGACCUCAUGAAGUUGGAAUCGCUAGUAAUCGCGAAUCAGCUACGUCGCGGUGAAUACGUUCUUGAGCCUUGUACACACCGCCCGU